CAAGAGAAGCGCCCCAGAUGUCUGAUUUAUCAGACAGAGAGUGGAGAGAAGUGCUUCCAACAUCUGACUUGCCAGACACAGAGACGCAAGAGCACCCCGAGGUGGUGUCCAGUCCCAGAGGGACUGGUGGAGGCCCCGGAGGACGCUCACCCUCGGAGAGCAGCGCUGCAGGCAGCCGGCCCCCUGAGCUCGCCUCUGGCCGGGAGGCCUCAGGGAGCGUGGACGGUUCGGCUGCAGCGGGGAAGGCCCAGCUCCAGACUGAUGCCAAAGGCAGCCCCGAGGAGGGCAGCACC